rnacentral:rRNA from 1 species
CCGGAGGUUACUGCUAUCGAGGUUCGACUAAGCCAUGCGAGUCGAAUGUAGCAAUACAUGGCGUACUGCUCAGUAACACGUGGACAACCUACCCUCAGGACGGGGAUAAACCCGGGAAACUGGGUAUAAUACCCGAUAGUCCUCGAAUGCUGGAAUGCAUCGAGGACGAAAGCCCCGGCGCCUCAGGAUGGGUCUGCGGCCUAUCAGGUAGUAGUGGGUGUAGCGUACCUACUAGCCUACGACGGGUACGGGUUGUGAGAGCAAGAGCCCGGAGAUGGAUUCUGAGACACGAAUCCAGGCCCUACGGGGUGCAGCAGGCGCGAAAACUUUACAAUGCUGGCAACAGCGAUAAGGGGACCUCGAGUGCCAGGUUAUAAAUCUGGCUGUCGUGAUGCCUAAAAAGCAUUGCAUAGCAAGGGCCGGGCAAGACCGGUGCCAGCCGCCGCGGUAACACCGGCGGCUCGAGUGGUAACCGUUAUUAUUGGGUCUAAAGGGUCUGUAGCCGGCCGGAUAAGUCUUUUGGGAAAUCUGGCAGCUUAACUGUCAGGCUUUCAGGAGAUACUGUCUGGCUCGAGGCCGGGAGAGGUGAGAGGUACUUCAGGGGUAGGGGUGAAAUCUUGUAAUCCUUGAAGGACCACCAGUGGCGAAGGCGUCUCACCAGAACGGACCUGACGGCAAGGGACGAAAGCUAGGGGCACGAACCGGAUUAGAUACCCGGGUAGUCCUAGCCGUAAACGAUACUCGCUAGGUGUCGGCCACGGUGCGACCGUUGUCGGUGCCGUAGGGAAGCCGUGAAGCGAGCCACCUGGGAAGUACGGCCGCAAGGCUGAAACUUAA